AGCAUAUCAAUAAGCGGAGGAAAAGAAACUAACAAGGAUUCCCCUAGUAACUGCGAGUGAAGCGGGAAAAGCUCAAAUUUGAAAUCUGGCAGUCUUUGAUUGUCCGAGUUGUAAUCUAGAGAAGUGUUACCCGCGUUGGACCGUGUACAAGUCUCCUGGAAUGGAGCGUCAUAGAGGGUGAGAAUCCCGUCUUUGACACGGACUGCCAAGGCUUUGUGGUGCGCUCUCAAAGAGUCGAGUUGUUUGGGAAUGCAGCUCAAAAUGGGUGGUAAAUGCCAUCUAAAGCUAAAUACAGGCGAGAGACCGAUAGCGAACAAGUACCGUGAGGGAAAGAUGAAAAGAACUUUGGAAAGAGAGUUAAACAGUACGUGAAAUUGCUGAAAGGGAAACGCUUGAAGUCAGUCGCGUUGGCCGGGAAUCAACCUUACUUUUGUUGGGUGUACUUUCUAGUCGACGGGUCAGCAUCAGUUUUGACCARUGGAUAAAGGCGUAGGAAAUGUGGCAUCUUCGGAUGUGUUAUAGUCCUGCGUUGUAUACAUUGGUUGGGACUGAGGAACUCAGCACGCCGCAAGGCCGGGGUUCGCCCACGUUCGUGCUUAGGAUGCUGGCAUAAUGGCUUUAAUCGACCCGUCUUGAAACACGGACCAAGGAGUCUAACAUGCCUGCGAGUGUUUGGGUGGAAAACCCGAGCGCGUAAUGAAAGUGAAAGUUGAGAUCCCUGUCGUGGGGAGCAUCGACGCCCGGACCAGACCUUUUGUGACGGAUCCGCGGUAGAGCAUGUAUGUUGGGACCCGAAAGAUGGUGAACUAUGCCUGAAUAGGGUGAAGCCAGAGGAAACUCUGGUGGAGGCUCGUAGCGAUUCUGACGUGCAAAUCGAUCGUCAAAUUUGGGUAUAGGGGCGAAAGACUAAUCGAAUC
rnacentral:rRNA from 1 species